rnacentral:rRNA from 1 species
UACGUAGGUGGCAAGCGUUGUCCGGAUUUAUUGGGCGUAAAGCGAGCGCAGGUGGUUUCUUAAGUCUGAUGUGAAAGCCCACGGCUUAACCGUGGAGGGUCAUUGGAAACUGAGGGACUUGAGUACAGAAGAGGAGAGUGGAAUUCCACGUGUAGCGGUGAAAUGCGUAGAGAUGUGGAGGAACACCAGUGGCGAAGGCGACUCUCUGGUCUGUAACUGACGCUGAGGUGCGAAAGCGUGGGUAGCGAACAGGAUUAGAUACCCU